rnacentral:rRNA from 1 species
UCGAGGGAGAACCAUUCGAUCCGUAAGGACCGGAUGGGGAAACCGGCGAACGGGUGCGUAACACGUGAGGAACCUGCCCCGAAGACCGGGAUAGCCCGAGGAAACUCGGAUUAAUACCGGAUACCCUCUUUGGACCACAUGGUCUGCUGAGGAAAUGGUCCGCCGCUUCGGGAUGGCCUCGCGGCCUAUCAGCUUGUUGGUGAGGUAACGGCUCACCAAGGCAAAGACGGGUAGCUGGUCUGAGAGGACGAUCAGCCACACUGGGACUGAGACACGGCCCAGACUCCUACGGGAGGCAGCAGCAGGGAAUAUUGCACAAUGGGCGAAAGCCUGAUGCAGCGACACCGCGUGCGGGAUGAAGGCCCUCGGGUUGUAAACCGCUUUCAGGAGGGACGAAACUGACGGUACCUCCAGAAGAAGGCCCGGCCAACUACGUGCCAGCAGCCGCGGUAAUACGUAGGGGCCAAACGUUGUCCGGAUUUAUUGGGCGUAAAGGGCUCGUAGGCGGUUCAAAAAGUCGAUCGUGAAAGCCCGGGGCUCAACCCCGGGACGCCGGUCGAAACUGUUGUGACUAGGGUCCGGUAGAGGUGAGUGGAAUUCUCGGUGUAGCGGUGGAAUGCGCAGAUAUCGAGAGGAACACCAGUUGCGAAGGCGGCUCACUGGGCCGGUACCGACGCUAAGGAGCGAAUGCGU